rnacentral:rRNA from 1 species
UACAGAGACCUCAAGCGUUAUCCGGAAUCAUUGGGCGUAAAGCGUACCGAUAGGUGGUUUAGAUAGUCUUGGGUAAAAGCCCGGAGCUCAACUCCGGUGUUUGCUUAAGAUACUGCUAGACUAGAAGGGCAAGAGGUGAUUGGAACGAAUGGUGUAGUAGUGAAAUGCGUUGAUAUCAUUCGGAACACCGAAGCGAAGGCAGAUCACUGGGUGCCUCCUGACACUGCUAGGACGAGAGCGUGGGUAGCGAAAUGGG